GUUCCCGGGAUAGGUCGGAGUCGGUUUCACCUGCGCCCUGGCGACGCCUCCUCCCCGGCUCUGGGGGAAGGGCGCGGCCCGCCUCCUUCUGUCCCUCCACCCUCUGAGGUCUCGCCCACCCCUGCCACCCAUCCCAGAUGAGUCAGGCUGGUCCGAGCCCGGAAGAGCGCCGUAGGUGAGGUCGCCAGCUAGCCGGAGCCGGCAACGUACAGCCCGGCAGGUCGCGCAGCCGCUCCCGGGCCGGGGAAUGGAAGGCAGAUACCCUGAGGCAGUAUCGAGGUCGGGGAAAACUCAUUUUGCAUCCAAAACAAGCCUAUCUUGAUCUGGUGAUACUGCUGGGGCGGCUCCUCCGGACCCUGGCGCCUACGGGUCCAAAUACACCGAAGUCUGUACCGAAAAGAGAAAUCACUCUGAAGAUUACAGGAUGUAUUCCGAUGUGCUUAUUCUUUGCCUUCAGUCCAAACCUCUACUGUGGAUGUAGAAUGGAAUCUCCACCCAAGAAGGUGCAGCUGUUCAAUGUCAACCCUCCAGAGAUGAGAAAACAGGUCAGCAUCUGACCCAGGCCAGGCCAAAUAAAAUCCUUUCCCAGGUUUUAAAAAAUUGGACCAAAGAUAUGAUUUCACGUGUUCAAAAUGACAAGCACAAAGUUAUUACUGCAGCAUUGUUUGUAAUGGCAAAAGAUUAGCAACAAUCCUGAAUUUACCAAUGGGACUGUUAAAUAGAUAACAAUACAUCAUUAAAAAUACUAGGCAGGGACUUCCCUGGUGGCACAGUGGUUAAGAAUCCGCCUGCCAAUGCAGGGGACACAGGUUCGAGCCCUGGUCCAGGAAGAUCCCACAUGCCGUGGAGCAACUAAGCCCAUGUGCCACAACUACUGAGCCUGCGCUUUAGAGCCCACGAGCCAUGACUACUGAGCCCACGUGCCACAACUACUGAAGGCUGCGUGCCUAGCACCUGUGCUCCACAACAAGAGAAGUCAUCACAAUGAGAAGCCCACACACCACAACAAAGAAGAGCCCCUGCUCGCCACAACUAGAGAAAGCCCGUGCGCAGCAACAAAGACCCAAUGCAGCCAAAAAUAAAAAUAAAUAAAUUUAUAUUUAAAAAAUGCUAGGCAGUAGUAUAAAAGAAUGAGGAAGAUAACUAUACACUUAUAU